rnacentral:rRNA from 1 species
GAUGAACGCUGGCGGCGUGCCUAAUACAUGCAAGUCGAGCGAACGGACGAGAAUCUUGCUUCUCUGAUGUUAGCGGCGGACGGGUGAGUAACACGUGGAUAACCUACCUAUAAGACUGGGAUAACUUCGGGAAACCGUAGCUAAUACCGGAUAAUAUUUUGAACCGCAUGGUUCAAAAGUGAAAGACGGUCUUGCUGUCACUUAUAGAUGGAUCCGCGCUGCAUUAGCUAGUUGGUAAGGUAACGGCUUACCAAGGCAACGAUGCAUAGCCGACCUGAGAGGGUGAUCGGCCACACUGGAACUGAGACACGGUCCAGACUCCUACGGGAGGCAGCAGUAGGGAAUCUUCCGCAAUGGGCGAAAGCCUGAUGCAGCAACGCCGCGUGCGGGAUGACGGCCUUCGGGUUGUAAACCGCUUUCGCCUGUGACGAAGCGUGAGUGACGGUAAUGGGUAAAGAAGCACCGGCUAACUACGUG